GUAGUAAUCAUCUUCAGCACAGUCCAGUGCAUUAUAGACCAUAUCAAGAAAAGGCCUGUUCCAGUUUGUUAUCUCACUUCCAGAGGCAGCAGCACUCUUUUCUUCAUCUGUUGUAUUCUGUUCCGUCACAGCAGAGAUGGACAAUUCUGAGAGUUUGCAUCGCUCCAUGAUUACCAUCUCUAUUUCUUCAUUUUCACUGCUUGUUCUGAUGCCCUUCGAACUUGCUUCCGUGCUUUUAGUUUUAUCUAAGUCAUCUUGGGUAUCUUCAGAUUGUCUCUCCUCCUCGUCUUCUUCACCAACAUUCUUAUAGUUGGGCCUUUUCUGCACUCUCUUCUUCCCCUUCUGUUUAUUAAUUUCAAGAGACCUCUCAAGUGUUUCUGUUGGUUUUAUGAAACAUCUGAUACUUGACUUCGCUGAGUUUUUCUGAACAUCUUGCUCAGCUUUAGAAGAAAACACCGACAGGUCACCAUUGAGUAUAACCUCAGCCAAUGAGUUCACCAAAGGGGCAUAAUGUAUAAUAAGAAAAACUUGAGAAAGAAGAUAGAGAGAAACUUGGAGACUUAUUUUUGGACGUUCCCCACCCUUAUCCUGAUUUAC
rnacentral:lncRNA from 1 species